GGUGUACAGAAGAGAGUCGGAGGAGGAAGUGACGGAUUGGAGACUAGAAGUGUACCAGUCGUUGUGGGUGACGAAGGAUUGAGGUUUGGAGCUGUGUUUCAUAUGGACUAUGUAGGUUUGCUUGGCGGUGGCGGAGAAGAAUAUGGCUAGGAGGAAGAGAGAAAGGAAAGAAAUACAGGCCAUGACUGUGAUUUGGCUGUGGCUAUGCAAUAGGAUUAGAA
rnacentral:misc_RNA from 1 species